UUUCAAAAAAUCCUCGCUUUCAGCGCCAUCUUCCUUGCAGACUGGACGACCAUUUUUCGUAGUUCGCAUUUCCCCUUUCUCAUGCUUCCCCAAAUCACACACUAGUUCAGUGCCAAACACUUCUUAUUACAAAAUACUGUAGAUUCUUCUUUGUCCUUUGAACUAGACAUUAUAUUUGUAUUUCUAUCCAAAUCCAUCCAAGACUGUUCUUCCACAUUAUUUUAAUUCAAUCAGGUAAAUAUUCGGAGUUUUGUCUAUUUAUGGACAAAUUUUCAUUUUUUUGUGGAAAAAUAUACUUCUUUUGGUGAUUUUUAUAGUUAACACGGUUGACACUACUUCCUUUCAGUUUCAGGCUUGAAAGUUUGAAGUAGACUGCCAUUCCUUUAAGUUUCAAGCUUGAUACUUGCAUUAUGUUUAUCGGUUAAUUUGGUUAAUGCUCAUUAGUUGUUGAGUAGAAUGGUUAAUUACUUAAGAUCCAGUUAAUACUGGUUGGUGAUAUUUGAAUAUCCAUUUUAGUGUAAUUUUUAUUUGAAUUUUCAGUUAGUAUCAUCAAUCUCCUGAUAUUUGAAUUUUUUAAUGUAACUUGAAUAUUUGGUUAAUGCUUUCUGGAUGGUAUAAUAAAUUUGCUCGAUUAUGAAGUGUAGUCAUUGGUGUAUUUAAAUUGGCUGGAUGAGGAACUGAGAUAGACUGUAACGAACUUUGUUGGAUAAAUGAAAUUUUCUGUUUAUUUUAAUUGCCUUUCCAUUUAAAUAUGCGAAGCAAAAUUGUUUUUAUUAUUGUUGUGCUUUAAAGUUACAAUUGAGCUGAUGAUUAGGCUUUCGUGUUUCAUCAAAAUUCUUGACAUUCUUGGUUAGCUUUUCUUCGUUCUUUAUUUUAAAAUGUUAAGACAUCCUCAGAAUUUGAUCGAUCUUUGGACUAGAAGAAAUAUUUCCAUAGUUCAUUACUCAUUGGUUCAGUAACUUCUGUUUUUAACAUGAUAGAAUCAGAUUUAAGGGUUAAAGUCUUGUUCAUAGUUGGACAGGAUUGGAACUGAGUGGUCUGGAUCCGGUUAUUUAUGUGGAGCAGUUGGUUCAAUUUGCACAAUUCCGAAAGGGAAUCGGAGAGCUGGACCAUACCUGACCAUGCCCACUUUAAUCUUGGCAAUGUGGCAUUGGUUUACUUCAAUGUAUUAAAAAUGGUGUUGUUUUAUAUUUGAAUGAGAUUGCAAUCAUUUUCUUCAACUAAUUCAUCAAUUGUUUCUUACCCCUGGAAAUUGAUCUCUGUAGUUGAUCAUCUCGAGCUCCCGUGCUUAUUUCUUCAUGCACUAGCUGCUGACAACCAUCACAGUCUGAAACUGAUUGACUAUAGCCCCUCUGCUGCAAAAUCAAUUAAUAUAGACAUUACGCCCUCGGGGCAUAUCCCAAUGAUACAAAGGACAAGGGUGAGGGCUUUGCUGACAGCCGCAGUGUAAGGGUUUGAUUUAUGAAACAUGGAUUGAGACUCUUUGUGGACAUCAGUGUACAGGCAGCUCUUGUUUCCUAGCCUGUUAGGACACAUCUUGCGAUUAACCUCUCUCAUGACGAUCCAGAGCGGGACGGUGGGAUGGUAUAAUAAAUUUGCUCGAUUAUGAAGUGUAGUCAUUGGUGUAUUUAAAUUGGCUGGAUGAGGAACUGAGAUAGACUGUAACUUUCUUUGUUGGAUAAAUGAAAUUUUCUGUUUAUUUUAAUUGCCUUUCCAUUUAAAUAUGCGAAGCAAAAUUGUUUUUAUUAUUGUUGUGCUUUAAAGUUACAAUUGAGCUGAUGAUUAGGCUUUCGUGUUUCAUCAAAAUUCUUGACAUUCUUGGUUAGCUUUUCUUCGUUCUUUAUUUUAAAAUGUUAAGACAUCCUCAGAAUUUGAUCGAUCUUUGGACUAGAAGAAAUAUUUCCAUAGUUCAUUACUCAUUGGUUCAGUAACUUCUGUUUUUAACAUGAUAGAAUCAGAUUUAAGGGUUAAAGUCUUGUUCAUAGUUGGACAGGAUUGGAACUGAGUGGUCUGGAUCCGGUUAUUUAUGUGGAGCAGUUGGUUCAAUUUGCACAAUUCCGAAAGGGAAUCGGAGAGCUGGACCAUACCUGACCAUGCCCACUUUAAUCUUGGCAAUGUGGCAUUGGUUUACUUCAAUGUAUUAAAAAUGGUGUUGUUUUAUAUUUGAAUGAGAUUGCAAUCAUUUUCUUCAACUAAUUCAUCAAUUGUUUCUAACCCCUGGAAAUUGAUCUCUGUAGUUGAUCAUCUCGAGCUCCCGUGCUUAUUUCUUCAUGCACUAGCUGCUGACAACCAUCACAGUCUGAAACUGAUUGACUAUAG
rnacentral:lncRNA from 1 species